CCGUUCUCAUCAGUCUGCGUAUAAAUAACACGACUUUACACUUUCUAUUUGCGUGUAAUGCAUACGCCAAAUGCCAUUUUUGCGUGCAUAUGAUACGCCAAUCCUUCCCAUUAAUUUCGGUGGAGAGCAGAUGCGUCCAAAUAACACGCAUCAUCUUCAGCGGCAGUGACGUCACUAGCGUGGCUCGUUCAGUUCACCUGAUGCGCGUACACCUUCAAACAGGUAAGCAAGGGUAAAUAUAUUUUUUUAUUCUUCUUUUUGUAAUGAUAUCACGUGGUUAAGCGUAUUGUUUUAAUUAUUUCAGUAUUUCUGCAUCACGUUAGACAGGGCCGUGUUUUUAAAGGGCAGUUUAUGCUCAAAUUAUGGGUCAGUGGGCUGCUCAGCUAGCCUACCAUUGUCAUUAGCCUAAGCUAACCUGUACUGUUUAUAGACCUGUUGCAGUUUUAAAUAAAUUUAUGAUGUGACAUAUGGGUCUUCAGCUUUUAGACAUGACUAAUACAAGCACAACAAAGCACCCAACCCAAUAUCGCGUGAUAAUCGUGAUCGUGUAAAAAGUCCACACAUUUAGCAUAUUUUUACAAUACUAGCCUAACUUUUGCUUGACCACGUCAUGUGUAGCCAAUACACACACAGUAACUACAGCAUAUUUACCAUGCUUCUCCUACUGUAACCGUAGUUUUACUCUGGACUUUGUAACGCACAUAACCACGACAUUUACUAUGGGUUUACCAUAGUAACCAUAGUUUUACUCUGGUAUUUGUAGUUACUAACACACAAUAACCACGACAUUUACUAUGGGUUUACCAUAGUAACCAUAGUUUUACUCUGGUAUUUGUAGUUACUAACACACAAUAACCACGACAUUUACUAUGGGUUUACCAUAGUAACCAUAGUUUUACUCUGGUAUUUGUAGUUACUAACACACAAUAACCACGACAUUUACUAUGGGUUUACCAUAGUAACCAUAGUUUUACUCUGGUAUUUGUAUUUACUAACACACAAUAACCACAACACUUACCAGGAUUUUACCACAGUAACUGUUUUUACUCUACACUAUUUGUAAAGCACAGUAACCACUAAGUUUGCCAUGCCUUUAAUAUCUUUUUGUGAUGUAAUUGUAAUUCAGUGUUUUUUCUGUCUUGCAGUUACGUCGGAUUACAUACUCCACAACAACCUGUAAUCCAGCAGAUCUUUAAAGAAGCCAUCUCUUGUCAAAUCUCUCUCUCUCUCUCUCUCUCUCUCUCUCUCUCUCUCUCUCUCUCUCUCUCGCUCUGCUAGAAUUAACAGGGAACUUCAACUCCACGCUCCCAAUGCUGAUAUUGAAGAAGCUGUCAAGGGGGCUGAACAAGUCCUUCAAAGGAUCAACCCUUCACAGGAAGGCCUGUCAUGAGAUUUGAAUUUGACCAUCUUGUGCAUUUAUGAAGAAGACCAAAAGCUGCAAAGGCAAACACUUGGAUUUCUCACAGAUUACUUAAUCAUUCUUCAUCAGCUCUUCACAAUAUCAGCCCAUUCAAAAGCUUCCAGAUCUUCCUCUCUUGUGUGACACAUCUGCUCUCAGUCCUUUACUGCCAACCUCCAGUCUUAGCAUUUCUGCUUGUAUUCAUUUUUCCUCUACAUUCAUCACUCCAAUCUCUACUAUAAGCACUCCUGUAUAUAUAUAUAUAUAUAUAUAUACACAUAAUAAUAAUAAUAAUUAUUAACCAUUUAUUUGUUUUGCAUUUAUUCACAAUAGAAGCAAACAAUGAUUACAGGAUAUAUGUUUUUAAAGGUUAUAAUUGUAAAAUAGCAUUGUUCUUAAUCAUUUUUGCCUAUUUGGUUGAUAAAGGGAAGAAAACAAUAUAUUUUCAACUGUAGCCUUGAUUAUUCUUUGGCAUCUUUUGUCAGGAUUUCUGUAAACAAAUUCCCUUUUUAUUUUUGAAUAUUAAACUUAUGUUUUUUGAAGGGAGUUUCUGUUGCAAUUUUGUUUGUUUGUUUUCACUUAGUUACCUCUAUGCAUUUUUUUUUUUUAUCAACUUUUCUUUUUUUUCAUAGUGGAAUAAACUGGAGAGAGACUGUUCUGGGCACUAUGUUUAUCUGCGAAAAGUUUGACAUAUCAAUAAACACUGUAAAAUGACUAGACAA